UAAGACAAAGAUACUGCAGAGAAUUAAUUCCAUGUCUGAUAUCACCUCCACUCACUUUGACUAUCGAAUCAGCACUAAAUUCAUGUUGCUCCUUUUUGCAUAUAGUUGCAUAUGAUAUUUAGCCUGUAUUACAAUAAAGGUGUUCAUUUCUAUUUCGCAGAUUUCAGUAAUUACUCACUACUUGUACAAUCAUUGUCACUUUGUCAGUGAAAGAUGCAAACAUUCACAAAAAUGAAUAUUUUUUACAUACUAAGUUUUGGUUUUAUACAAACACAGCACACUAUUCACAAGUGUCUACACUAAAUUUAACAAAGUAUAGUAUCUAAUAUCUAUAUGUGAUUUACCUCUUCCACCUAUUUUCAUUUUUCAUUUCCAUAUUUCUAACCUAGUAUGUAUAAUUAGUGAUUCUAAGAGAUUGACUGAAGUAUCUAGCUCUACCAAUAUGGAUCAUAUAAGAGAGUUUUUUCCUUCCUUCCACACAGAAGGUUGUAUAAAUAUAUAUUUUCAACAUACCAAUGCAGGUUUACAUGCCACACCAUAGGCAUAGAGACACAAUUCACAAUUAUUGUACACUAAAAAAAUUAAAACUUCGUUGUGGCGGCCUAGUAUAUGAGAUUGGUGUGGGUUAUCCAAAUUCAGCUAUAUAUGUCACAUUGAAUGAUCAAGCUUUUCACCGGCACAAGCUUUGUCUCCGCUGCAUCAAAUCAAGGAGAUACGUUGUCGAUUCAAUGAAAAUACGGAGCUAUAUCCAAAAAAAGAAUUGAGUAAAUACAUGAUAAUCAUGUGUAAAAACGUAACAGAGGAUUAGCGUCACCCGCUUGUUUCAACAGUUUCCCAAGAAAGGCCCCAGGAUACGCAACAUAUAUAUCUUAGUUAAACAACUUAGUUUCAGAGAAAGUAAACAACGUAAGUUGUCCUAUGUUAACACAAGCAUACAAUUUUAUACGUAUGCCAAUUUAGCGGUUACCAUAUUUUCAACACACUAAUAUCACUUUGAGGAACAAAGUAGGAACAUCUCAUCUUCGAUAGCUACUGAUUAAUUCAUAACUACAAGUAUGUUCCAAAGUAAAGAAAAAAUUAACUGUUAAUUUUGGGGAGAAGCAACAAUAAAUAGGCAGAUUGGAUAUUUUUUUAUAAAUCUAGAAAAUUUUCAUGAGUAAUAACACUUUUGAGUUUUCGUAGGUGAUCUCUUUCCAAAUUCAAAUAGAUUUUAGGAACUUUUACAUUCUAGAAUGAAAAGUUUUGCGUUUAUGACUGGAAUUUCUUUUCGCAUGUGCUAAAUCGGUUAUCAAAAAGAGUACUCAUGAGAAAACAGAGCAAAUUUGCUACAUAUUCGGAUAUUCUGUCGAUUUUAUUUCUCAAUAUCGUACUCAAAAGGAGAGUCCAUAAUUUUUAUAUUGGUAGUAGUGGAAAUGACCUAAGCAUUUCCAAUCUCUACAAGAAGGUUAUACACAUCGUUUUUUAUAACAUACACUACACAACUCCCAAAACUCCUCAACGGUGAGGAACUCUCCCCUAUGCCUUCUACCAAAUUCAUCUCUAUAUACAUGAGUUCAAACUCCAUAACAAAAUGAAUAACUUUUGUACAGUCAAAGACUAACAAUAACUUGUAAACAACCAAUUAUAUAUAUCAAGAAAUGCAGUAAUUCAUACGAACAUCAUUAAAAGAUCGAAAUUUGAUACACAAAAAAAUAAUUAAAAAAAAUUCAUCUAUUAUAUAGAUUAGAAGAUUUUGAAAAUGAUAAAGAAGUUGAAUGUCGUAGAAUUUAGAGAGAAUUUAUCAAAUUCAAGAGAAGAAUAAAAAAAAGUAUACAAAUAACCCAAACAACAAACGCAGUUAGAACCUACAACUUGACAAGCCAGAAGAUGAGCUCUUUGAUAACAGGUGGUACCUACCAUGUUUAUUUAAAGCAUGAAUAGAAAUUUCUAGAGAGAGAUAUUUUUGCACUUGUGUUUGAUAUUUCGCCACGUGGAGAGAAAUUAGGGAACAAGUACAAUAAAAUUAAAUAUGGUGUCAAUAAACGUUAAAGAUAGUAGUUCCAGAUUUGUGUACAAUAAUGAUAACCAUACUUCAAAAGAUCAUUCUAGAUCUGCUAUAAAAGAGUGUAUCCUUUUCUCAUUUUUGUUUUCCUUUCACGCUUUCUUAACAACAAUUUUCCUUCAAAAACAAUUAGGCAAUUUAUCGUUUCAUUGAACAAACUACAAAGUAAUCGAAUUUUUUUAUUAAAAAACAAAAUAUCUAGAUACAAAGAAAGUUGGAUAAUUCUUAUGGAUUUUCAUUAACAAUACAUUGCGAAUUGAGAUUGAUUUUUUAAAUCUUUUUCCCUUUUUCAAAAAAUGGAGUAAAAGAGAAAACCAUCGAAUGUAGAUGUGUUGUAAGCUUUGAAGGCAAAGUAACAUAUAGAAAUUUAAAAGAAAAACGUACCUUUGAUUUAUUGAACGGAAAGAGUGCAUUUUUAACAAAAAGAUUGUUGUGAAAGAGAGGAAAUUGAAGAGAGUGUGCUGAACAAGAUUUUAAUGGAAGCUCCUGCCUCCUUUGCAAGAGAGAGAGUGGGCGAUUUGGAGGUUAUAUAAGAUGAAAAUACUAUUUUACCCGUAAAGAUUUUUUCUAAAGUGCCAUUGAUCUGCCUAGAUUUGGCGUUUAGUAAUUUUCUAAUUUGUGGAUCUGAGGCAG
rnacentral:lncRNA from 1 species